AAAGACCCCGUGAACCUUUACUACAGCUUUGCACUGAACUUUGAACCUACUUGUGUAGGAUAGCUGGGAGACAUUGAAGCGAGGACGCCAGUUCUUGUGGAGUCAACCUUGAAAUACCAGCCUGGUAUGUUUGGAGUUCUAACCUCGGUCCAUUAUCUGGACUAGGGACAGUGUAUGGUGGGUAGUUUGACUGGGGCGGGCGCCUCCUAAAGAG
rnacentral:rRNA from 1 species